GGUGGCUCAGCAGUAGAGUGCAUGCCUUGCAAGCACGAGGCCCUGGGUUCGAUUCCUUAGCACCA
rnacentral:tRNA from 1 species